rnacentral:rRNA from 1 species
GUAUAAGAGACAGCAGCCGCCGCGGGAAUACGAAGGGGGCUAGCGUUGUUCGGAUUUACUGGGCGUAAAGCGCACGUAGGCGGACUUUUAAGUCAGGGGUGAAAUCCCGGGGCUCAACCCCGGAACUGCCUUUGAUACUGGAAGUCUUGAGUAUGGUAGAGGUGAGUGGAAUUCCGAGUGUAGAGGUGAAAUUCGUAGAUAUUCGGAGGAACACCAGUGGCGAAGGCGGCUCACUGGACCAUUACUGACGCUGAGGUGCGAAAGCGUGGGGAGCAAACAGGAUUAGAUACCCCCGUAGUCCCUGUCUCUUAUAC